UCCAAAAAUAAAAAAUAAUCAAUUUCAAAACCCAUAAAAGAUUUUCUCAAUCAUAACAAAUCUUCCACAACACAAUUUCAUAAAGCCAUUAAAAAAAGCCAUUUUUUUCAAAAAAAAUAAAUUUUGCGAAGAGAAGAACCAGAAUCCAUCUUCCUGAACAUAAUCAAAGUGCUGAAUAUUUUUAUGCUUCCUCAACAAAAUUCAUCUCCCAAAAAAUCAUCCAUUUUUAUGUUUCAGCUACAACAAAAUUCCUCAUCAUCUGCACCAACAGAAUCUACACCAUCAUUCAUCUUCCUUAACAAUCCAGAGAGAACAAUCAAAGCCAAAAAUCAUAAAUUACUUUAAGUUUAUAGUAGCAAAACCAUAUCUAAUAACUCAAUUUACUUCACUGCAACAACACCAUAAUAACAAAAUUAAAUAGAAAUUGAAACAACAUUGCUAUGAAAUUGCAUAAUUCAAAUUGGAAAAAAUGAAACCCUAAACAAUGGUAACUUGGUCACCUGAAACUUCAAUGGUAAUCGCCGCAAUUCUCGUGAUACUGGGAACUUCUUCAACCACAACAUCGAUUUCAAUCUUUUCCUCGACGACGGAAACUUCAACGGUGGGAGAUGGACGACGGCGACAUUGAGACGGACGACGGCGUGUUCGAUCCAUUAAUGGGUAUGAAGCUACAAAACAAGAAUCAAUCAAACACCUCUCAAGCUUAAUUCACGUGGCUGAUUUCCACAUAACAUUGAUUGCAAUUUUUGAGUGUGUGAGCCUCCUGAUUGCAAUUUUUGGUGAUUCCAUUUCUUGCUAUUUGCCAUGGAGGAGAAAGAAGAUAAAGCGAGGUCUUGGUUUUAAGAUCAAUAUGUAGCUGCAAAGAAUUCAGAUCUAAAAAAAAAAUCAAUAUGUUGUUGGUUUCCUGAGUUGUUGAGAAGGGUUUGUGUGAAUCAAUUCAUUGAAUUGGGGUUUGUGUAAAUGCAAUUUAUUUUUGGGUUUUUUCUGUUUUUUUUUUCUUUUCUGGAUUUCAGUUUUGGAUGAAUAUAUGAAUGAUUAAUUUUUUGGUGAUGAAUUGAUUUUCAUUUUUGGGUGUAAAAUUAAUUUUUAUUUUAUGAUUGAUUUUCUGGAUAUGUUGAAGAUGAUGAAGGAGAUGGAUGAAGAAGAUGAAGAAAAUGAAAAAAAUAGUUGUUGAUGAAGAAGAUGACGAAGGAUUUGGUGUUGGUGGUUCACCGUUACAUACAAUGGUCCUACAAUCUAAUGGCUGAAAUCAUAUCUCAAAUAUUCCCUUAACG
rnacentral:lncRNA from 1 species